rnacentral:rRNA from 1 species
UACGUAGGGUGCGAGCGUUAAUCGGAAUUACUGGGCGUAAAGGGUGCGCAGGCGGUUAUAUAAGACAGAUGUGAAAUCCCCGGGCUCAACCUGGGAACUGCGUUUGUGACUGUAUGACUAGAGUACGGUAGAGAGGGGUGGAAUUCCUGGUGUAGCAGUGAAAUGCGUAGAUAUCAGGAGGAACAUCGAUGGCGAAGGCAGCCCCUUGGACCUGUACUGACGCUCAUGCACGAAGCGUGGGAGCAAACAGG